UUUUUAUAUGAUGAAGUACUACAGCUGUACGGUUUCGCCUAAUGGCCAAAUUGUCAUUUUAUCGUACACUUUCCUACGAGCGAAUUGGUGUGACAGGUUGCCUUUUUUCCCGUAAGUACUGUCGCCUUAGUAAAUAGUCCCAUCGAACAAGGUGACUGCCCAGACGGGCAAAUACUCUAAUGGGCCAAUCCAUUGAAAAACGUCAUCAGUAGCUUUUUUUUUUAGUGUUCGAAAAGACCCGCCCUACUGUUGCUAUCGACGUGGUACACAGCGGGCAGCAUAGUGAACAAGAGACCAUGCCCUGUACAAAAAACCUUGUGUCCGCGAUCCUCGUCGUGCUUACACAUUGAAGGGGUUUGACGGAAAGCAGAGCUUGAUGAUAUUCGACUAACGAUAGAUCUACGAGCGUCUACUCAUCGGAUAGUUCAUCAGCAUUGACACCAUGUGCAAUAAACAUCUAUCAGCGAACGCAAUUGCUCGUCAGCUCGCCUGUAUGACCAUACAUAGACACUUUGAAAUAGAUAUAGCAAACAACUGGAACUUUUUAAUUUGUCAUUGAACGUCAGUGGAACUUCGAAUGCCCUCCAUCAUCAUCAUGCAGCUCUUGCGGGAGGAUUGGUGCGUAUCGCUACCCAGAAGCAUUGUACGCUACGGAUCGUCUCAGUUUCGCUCAGGUGGCUCUUCUCGCCAUCCGUCCACCACUUUCUCAGAUCGAACAACUGCACUGACCUCUCGGUUAUUUUCGUGAAAGGAAACCUCAGACAUUUGCGGAAGGCGUCAUGUGUUCACAGCACCCACGGUAGCGGUAAUGCACAGUCAUUUAGAAUAAUCGAAGGACACGUCGAAACAAUAGCAGCGGUCGCAAUAAGCAUUGUCGUCGUCUUCGUCACAUUAAAGGAAAAAAAACUUCUACCCGAAUCUUUUUUUCGUGCACGCGUGUCUGAAGACAACAUCGUCGAGCGCAGGAGAAUGGGGGCGUACCGAUCGAGAUCGAAAAACCAUACAAGCUGUAGAGACAGGGUACCAACAAAAACAUAGUUCAACAUAGCACUGUGCCUGUGUGAAAAAACAACAUGGAGCAAAUGGAUAGAAAAACGCUAACGAUAAAGCAGCUGGCCAAGGCAAGGCCUUGUCUCGCAGCGCAGGAACAGCAAGUUGUUCACGCAAUAACAAAGAGGGAUGAUUCGACCUUUGUAAAUCAUGGAGUUCAGAACGACAAAGAGGCAGUGAAGUAGGACUUCGCAUACGUUUUUACGAUCGCUCGUAACCAGCUCGAGCGAGAUCAACGGAAACGAAUCCCGUUCGCUAACAUGUGAUGGCGGUGCACGAUGUCAAAAAGAGCCUCUAAGAAUAGGAAAGACUGUGCCUUCAUAGGCUCGCUACGUCUAUGGACGCAGCUCACCUGAGGCAACUCGUAUUUGGAACUUCAGCGGUCUCAAUAAAAUAUCCGUUUGUAUGAUUGUGUCUGAUCUGAUAUUUAUAGUCACUCUACCAGGCUCAGAGGAUAUUCUGUCAGGCAGUUUUUAAUAAAUGA